UGUACCAGUGCAACCAACAACUUAACAAUCCCCUCGCCUUUUACUAGGGGAUUCCGUGUUGGUUGUACGCAUAAUGGUACAUUUCUAAUCUUUGGGCUUCUUUCUCUUCGAGAGAAA
rnacentral:snRNA from 1 species